UUGAUGGACUUGGGCUGCUUAGGCUUAGAAGCCGUGGACUUCUUGUUCUUCUUCGCAGGCUUCUUAGUCGCCUUCGGAGCAGGGGCGGUCGUUUUGGUCUUUUUCUCCGUUUUGGGUUUUGUUGAAGCCUUGGUUUUGCCUGUGGUUUUGUCCUUCUUGCCUGCCUCAGAGAGCUUGUACGAGGCCCUGAUCUUGAUCAGCUUGCCUCUCGCCGCAGAGUUCUUCAGUUGCAGAGCCAGGGUCUUCUUGAAGUUGGAAGGAAGCACCGCCUUGUGCUUCUCCUCCAUGUACUUGGCUAUGGCGUAAGGACUGGACCCGCUCUUCUCGUUCAG
rnacentral:lncRNA from 1 species